rnacentral:rRNA from 1 species
UAUGCAGGCGGAUCGUUAAGUCGGGGGUGAAAUCCCGAGGCUCAACCUCGGAACUGCCUUCGAUACUGGCGAUCUUCGAGUCCGGGAGAGGUGAGUGGAACUCCGAGUGUAGAGGUGAAAUUCGUAGAUAUUCGGAAGAACACCAGUGGCGAAGGCGGCUCACUGGCCCGGUACUGACGCUGAGAUACGAAAGCGUGGGGAGCAAACA